GAGUUUAAUCUUGCCUUAUUUUAUCUAUCUAAAAACUAAGCCAGCUGCACAUUGCCAGCUGAAAGAGAUGUAUGUGUCCAGAGGGCUAUUUAUUCCAUCUGCCUUGGACACGUAUCUUGAAUUGGAAUGAGCUGACCUAUGGAGGUCCAUUGACUACUGAAGGAUCCUAUUUUAGGACUUCUAAAAUUAGGUCCUGACUAUAAAUUGAAAGAGUCCUUUUUCAGAAGCAUAGCUGAAUUCAAUUUAAUCAAGAAUAUUAUUUCAAAUACCUGCAAUUAAUGUGAAAGAAUACAGGAGAAGAACAGUGUUCAAUUAAGCCUGGACUAAAGUAAUCAUUUUUAAUGGAGCAGUAUCAUCAGGAACACUAGGUAAAACUGAGCUUUAUUAUUCUCAUUUUUUAAAAACUCUUCUGAGAAAGAUGGAGUUGCCGACAGCUAUGAGCCCUAAGGCACAACUGGCUGAGAAUUGAUGUAAAGUAAAAAAACAGACAGACAAAACUAAACACCUUGAAUUUUUCAUGCACAUUUUUUUGUGAACUGCAACACCUGAUGCAAGAUAAAUGUCUGUACUUGCAUCUUAUGUGAAAACUGAGCUUGGAUAAAAAUGCUCAGGAUACUGAAUCAUCUUGAAAGUUUUACACUAGUGUGCAAAUGCAGGACUUACUGCAGCCAUUCUGUGUUGACUAUACAGGCAAAUUUAGGGUGGCUCUUCCUAGGGAGAAUAAAUAGUCUUCUACAAUACAGAGCUCUAGAAGAUCUACCUGCAAAAACAUUUAUUUGGGAUUCAGUAUAGCCCACAGAACUGCAUGUUUGGCUUGUCAGUGGUAAAUAAGUUUCCUGAGAAUGUAAGAUGGAGGGUUUUAGUUAGUGACCAAGAGAUCAAUACCAUGAUCCAUGAUGUUAAUGAUAAAGUAUUGCCUAUCUUGAAAACAUACCUAACUUUUGCUGUAAGGGUUCUUGCUUAUUUCACUGAAAACCAGCAAAGGUAUUGAUCACCUUUUAGGACUCAUGAAAAAUGUUGAGGGAUGGAAAUACCUCAGUAACAAAAAGGUUGAGGAAUAGAAAUUGGGGUAAGGCUAUUCCAUACGGAUGAAUGAUGUGUGAUAGAAAUAUUGAUAACUGAGUAAUGACUUGACAAUUUUCUUUUAUGGCUCUUGCCUGGAGUACCCAUUCUAGAGCAGGUAAAAAUGUAUGAAGGGCCUUUACAGAAGCAGUACACCAGUUCAAUAUUCAAUAUAAAGUCUCAUAGGAAUGUGGCAGGUGACAUAAUAUUUCAGAGUUGUUAGGUACAAUCCUGACACCUAAUAGUAAGCUGAUUCAUUAGGGCAUGUCUUCUAACCAAUGUGUGCUCUUUUGAGAUGAUAAGGUAGGAUAUGACUUACUCAGCUUGUAGGGGUAUUGUCUGUUCUGCCUUGAAUUUGCUGGAAGGAUAUUAAAUGUGUCAAAGCUGAUGUGGCUCAGAUUUUGGUGAGGCACCUGGAAUGGAAGGUGGCUGGAGAAGGGUCCAUGGUACAUGUCAGCAUUAGGGCUUCCCAAGACACCCACUGUGGACACAAAUGUAAAUUCAAGCAUUGCUACUAAAUAAAGCUGGGAAAAUGUACCAGGCAAACAUGGAUAUUCAGGGAGAGACCUGACCUGUCACAUGUGAAACUCCUUAACUUAAUUGUAAUCACAUUGGAGAAAGGGAUCAGUCAAUAUCUAGAGGCACUCUCAGAUGGCAGUGCAGUACAAAAUAGUAUGAACCAAGGACAUAGAACAACCAGCAUUCCCCAUAUGCUCCACAUCUCUUCCAAAAGCUGCUGUUGGUUAACAGAGCUGUUAUCUGCUGCUUCAACUGGAUGUAUGUCCUGCCUGUAGAUUUUCAUAACAUAACUUGAGUGUGUCUCUUGCACAAGAUGAGCUACCUACCUUGAAGAUGUGUGGGAUUUCAUGGCAUGGAUUAAUUGGACUCCAUAACUUCAGCCACUUUUGAGAUGACCCUGGUUUGUGCCUGCAGCAUUCCUCUGGACUUCCUGAAUUUCCAAAGCCUUCUCUGUAAAGGCUUUGAGGAUUCCUAGCCUUCAACAUCAGAGGAUGGUGACUAUACUAUACAUAGUGACCGAGCACUAAAAUCAUCCCACAACAAAGGAAAAAACCUUGUUCUCAUUCAGCCAAUAGAUUUGCCUCAGUCAUUGGAAUACACAUGAAGUUCAGCACCUGAUGAGACAGCCCACUGUGGUCCUAGGAUAUGGACCUGGAAAAUCCAGUGGUCUUCUGAAAUGAUGUGGUUGGAUGACAAUAUCUUCAUCACUGCUUUCCAUGAAUCUCCAAAUGCUGGGACUGUUUAAUUGUUAUGCCUCACACAUCAAACCAUAGAUGUGGCUGUGGUACAAUGGGACAAAUCUGGAGCUGGGGCAGAGGAUUAUUCCCUUUUGGUUUCUGUUAUGCUGAGCACAUCUGAGCAUGGACCAUGGCAUUUAAGGAGGAUCCAGGUGGAUGCCUCUAGGAGCAGGUGAAGAGGCUGGGUCUCUAGGUUAGGCACUCUGUCACUGAAAAUUCCCUUCCCUCCUCCUCUCACUUGCAAGAUAAGCAAUGCAGGUCAGCGAAGAGCAGUCUGUUGGCAUGCUGUGCACUUGAGGCGGUAGAAAACCUAGAAGCUGCUUCAUAGAAAAGGGUCCCCUCGCAACAGAGAGAUAGAUCAAGUACCUGCUUCCCUCUCGUUCUGUUUCUCAUUUUCUGAUACCCUUUUUUUUUUUUAACUUUGUAUUGUGUAAUGGCCUG